UACGAAGGGGGCUAGCGUUGUUCGGAAUUACUGGGCGUAAAGCGCACGUAGGCGGCUUCUUAAGUCAGGGGUGAAAUCCUGGAGCUCAACUCCAGAACUGCCUUUGAUACUGAGGAGCUUGAGUCCGGGAGAGGUGAGUGGAACUGCGAGUGUAGAGGUGAAAUUCGUAGAUAUUCGCAAGAACACUAGUGGCGAAGGCGGCUCACUGGCCCGGUACUGACGCUGAGGUGCGAAAGCGUGGGGAGCAAACAGG
rnacentral:rRNA from 1 species